GGAAGGAAGAAGAAGAGUGUGACUGGUUGAGGACGGACUUGCAUGCUAGCUCUUCCGAUGACGAUAUAUGAAAUCAACAGCUAUUUUCUACAAGUGACGUAACAAGAAACAGUCGUCUAGAUAAGCCAAAUGUAUAUUAUUCUGUUGCAUAUUGUAUCACUGCAUUCGUUAGGGUUCAUGGUUACUAAAUUUGCAUGUCGUUUUAGAUUACAUUUUUCAUCUGGUGGGGCAUACGUACUUACAUUUUUCAUCUGGUGUGAAGGCAGGGGGCUCAAGAUAUAUAUUUCCAGUGCGAACAUAGAAUCCAGGGCAGAGCCAUU
rnacentral:lncRNA from 7 species